AGUGAACGCUGGCGGUAGGCCUAACACAUGCAAGUCGAACGGCAGCACAGUAAGAGCUUGCUCUUACGGGUGGCGAGUGGCGGACGGGUGAGGAAUACAUCGGAAUCUACUUUUUCGUGGGGGAUAACGUAGGGAAACUUACGCUAAUACCGCAUACGACCUACGGGUGAAAGCAGGGGAUCUUCGGACCUUGCGCGAUUGAAUGAGCCGAUGUCGGAUUAGCUAGUUGGCGGGGUAAAGGCCCACCAAGGCGACGAUCCGUAGCUGGUCUGAGAGGAUGAGCAGCCACACUGGAACUGAGACACGGUCCAGACUCCUACGGGAGGCAGCAGUGGGGAAUAUUGGACAAUGGGCGCAAGCCUGAUCCGGCCAUACCGCGUGGGUGAAGAAGGCCUUCGGGUUGUAAAGCCCUUUUGUUGGGAAAGAAAAGCAGCAGGUUAAUACCCCGCUGUUCUGACGGUACCCAAAGAAUAAGCACCGGCUAACUUCGUG
rnacentral:rRNA from 1 species